rnacentral:lncRNA from 1 species
UUAUGAGCAGCUGCAGAACGAGACCCGGCAGACACCAGAGUAUCAGAAUGAGAGUUCUCGGAAUGCACAAUUUCUGGACAUGGUGGCCAACGAGACAGGGCUUACAGACCUGACACUGGAGACCGUCUGGAAUGUCUAUGACACACUCUUCUGUGAGGUGAGCCCACUAGGGUGCCCACUGUGAUCAUUCUUUUCCCUCUCAGCAGGCCCAGGUCACCAGGACGGUAGAACACAGUGCCUGAUACCGUCACGCCCCUGGGGAGGUCCAGGGAGGCUGUGCUUGUGAAACACGGG